ensembl:misc_RNA 7SK 7SK RNA
GGAUGUGAGGGCGAUCUGGCUGCGACAUCUGUCACCCCAUUGAUCACCAGGGUUGAUUCGGCUGAUCUGGCUGGCUAGGCGGGUGUCCCCUUCCUCCCUCACCGCUCCAUGUGCGUCCCUCCGGAAGCUGCGCGCUCGGUCGAAGAGGACGGCCUUCCCCGAAUAGAGACGGACCGGUCUUCGGUCGAGGGUAUACGAGUAGCUGCGCUCCCCUGCUAGAACCUCCAAACAAGCUCUCAAAAGGAUUUACUUUUUAUGAUAACAAUGUGAAUUACUUAUAAAAACUAUCUAAUAACAUAUUAUAUUCAGUUUUUGUUUGUGUUUAUU